rnacentral:rRNA from 1 species
UACGUAGGGUGCGAGCGUUGUCCGGAAUUAUUGGGCGUAAAGGGCUCGUAGGCGGUUUGUCGCGUCGGGAGUGAAACCAGGUGCGUUAACACCUGGCUUGCUUUCGAUACGGGCAGACUAGAGGUAUUCAGGGGAGAACGGAAUUCCUGGUGUAGCGGUGAAAUGACGCAGAUAUCAGGAGGAACACCGGUGGCGAAGGCGGUUCUCUGGGAAUGACCUGACGCUGAGGAGCGAAAGUGUGGGGAGCGAACAGG